CGUACAAGAAGCUGGAGAUCCUGGCGAGACUGUGGAAAGAUGGGGUCAGCACCAAGGCCCUGUGGAGCAUCCUGCAACAGGUGGCCAAUCGGAACAGGAAGGCAAACUGCUACACCCUAAAGGAGAGUCUGUACUGGGAGGUGAACAGGAACUGGCCGGGGUAUUCCGAGGAUGAACGGAAACAGCUGGAGCACAUUGUGUCUCGCAAAUUGGAAUCUUUGGCGAAUAGCACCCGGAAAGAAAGGUGUCUGACAUUGCAAAAGGUGACGUCGUCUCCC